AAGUCGUAACAAGGUUUCCGUAGGUGAACCUGCGGAAGGAUCAUUACUGAAUAGGGACUCCGGUCCCUGGGACAGCGCCCCCGUCGACCCCUCGGGGUCCCCGGGUGGUCCAGCCCCUUACCCUCUGUUUACCUUACCUCUGUUGCUUUGGCAAGGCUCCUGCCCGGGUGGUUCCGGGCUUGGGCUCUGCCAGAGGGCCCCAACUCGUGGAUAGUUUCUAUUUGUCUGAGUACGAUAUAAUCGUUUACAACUUUUAACAAUGGAUCUCUUGGCUCUG
rnacentral:misc_RNA from 1 species